rnacentral:lncRNA from 1 species
GAAAUAAAUUAGAACAAAACCAAAACUGGAAAAAUUGAAUGCAAAAGAUUGAGGCAAGAAUUGAACUCUUUAUCUUUAAGACGAAUUUGACCUGCACAAUACCACGAUAGAUUGGCAAUUGUCUCCCAUGGUAUAACGAUCAACUUCUUGUGAUGACGGAACUUUGAAUCACAGAAACUAACUAAUUGAAGAAUAUUUUGAACUCCUUUUGUAUGAAAGUGAUGUUAUAUCUAUGAGAUGAUUGAACGUCCGUAAUUGGAGUGAAUGAAACCAUCAUAGAGGGAUCCAACUUAUACUGGUUGAAGUGCUGCAUACGAAGAGAUACGACCCAAAAUUCAACCUGAUCUCGAAAGGUUGCAUGGGUUCAUUGGCUACUCACUAACUAUUAGCUUGACCACUCGAGCACCGAUUUCAGUGACAUUGCUGUUCACAAAGCAUGAGGCGGCUGAUCGAGCAAUGGAUUAGCAGUUUUGAAUAUCCGUUUUAUAAUUCAAAACUCAUGGUUUUUAACCUUAUUUCAUUCACUAAUUUCUGAUUCAUUCUGAAAUAAUUUUCGACUAUCAAAUAUACCAAACAUAUCUACUUGACGAAUAGAAUACGUUUGACCCAUUUUUUUUGCCAAAUUUGAGUAGCGGGACCCAUCCAAAUAUUUGGUCAAAAAUUGAUCAAAAC